GNAAUUAUUGGGCGUAAAGGGCUUGUAGGCGGUUGGUCGCNUCUGCCGUGAAAUCCACUGGCUUAACUGGGGGCGUGCGGUGGGUACGGGCUGACUUGAGUGCGGUAGGGGAGACUGGAACUCCUGGUGUAGCGGUGGAAUGCGCAGAUAUCAGGGAGAACACCGGUGGCGAAGGCGGGUNUCUGGGCCGUUACUGACGCUGAGGAGCGAAAGCGUGGGGAGCGAACAGGAUUAGAUACCCUGGUAGUCCACGCUGUAAACGUUGGGCACUAGGUGUGGGGGCCACCCGUGGUUUCUGCGCCGUAGCUAACGCUUUAAGUGCCCCGCCUGGGGAGUACGGCCGCAAGGCUAAAACUCAAAGGAAUUGACGGAGGCCCGCACAAGCGGCGGAGCAUGCGGAUUAAUUCGAUGCAACGCGAAGAACCUUACCAAGGCUUGACAUGCACGGCGGCACUGCAGAGAUGUGGUGGCAUUUAGUUGGUCGUGUGCAGGUGGUGCAUGGUUGUCGUCAGCUCGUGUCGUGAGAUGUUGGGUUAAGUCCCGCAACGAGCGCAACCCUUGCCCUAUGUUGCCAGCACGUGAUGGUGGGGACUCGUGGGGGACUGCCGGGGUUAACUCGGAGGAAGGUGGGGAUGACGUCAAAUCAUCAUGCCCCUUAUGUCUUGGGCUUCACGCAUGCUACAAUGGCUGGUACAGAGGGUUGCGAUAUCGUGAGGUGGAGCGAAUCCCUUAAAGCCAGUCUCAGUUCGGAUUGGGGUCUGCAACUCGACCCCAUGAAGGUGGAGUCGCUAGUAAUCGCAGAUCAGCAACGCUGCGGUGAAUACGUUCUCGGGCCUUGUACACACCGCCCGUCACGUCACGAAAGUUGGUAACACCCGAAGCCCAUGGCCUAACCGUUUAUCGGGGGGAG
rnacentral:rRNA from 1 species